rnacentral:rRNA from 1 species
CACACUGGGACUGAGACACGGCCCGGACUCCUACGGGAGGCAGCAGUGGGGAAUAUUGGACAAUGGGGGUAACCCUGAUCCAGCAAUGCCGCGUGUGUGAAGAAGGCCUGCGGGUUGUAAAGCACUUUCGGUGGGGACAAAAAGCGUCGUGCCAAUACCACGAUGUUUGAUUUAACCCAUAGAAGAAGCACCGGCUAACUCUGUGCCAGCCGCCGCCGUAACAC